ACUGAUGUUUCCGGUCAAUAACUUUUGUUUCGGUAAAGAUAUUUGAAUAAAACUUGGUAUGUAUGUAGCUUAUAUCAAGACAAAGGCUGGGAUUGAUUUUGGGGUUUCUGGGGUCAAGGUCAAGGUCAUUGUUACUAAAAAUAGGGUUAGGGUUAGGGUUGUGCUUUAAAGUGGUGCACUGUGAUUCAGUAUACUUUUUUAUUCUUAUGAAAAGUGUUG